CAAAAAUAAAAUAAAAACAAAAAAGGAAGGGGGUGGCCGGGGUGGCGCGCAGCCACCCCUAGUGGCCUGGGGCCACCCCUGGACCCAACAUCUCCAGAAAAACACAGCCACGCAGAUUGCUGCCUCUGUCUCCCCCUUCGUAUAUAAACCCAAACGAAACCCUCUUCUCUCCUCACCUCCUCAGAAGCUAACGAACGUGGAAAAUCGAAAACCCAGCAGCAUACAAUUUAAACAUGGAGCUGCUGUUGCAGCUGCUUCUCUGGUUCAAAUAACUAUAGUCCCACACAUUAAGUGAUGAAUGCAGAAGAAAAUAUGUCCAAGCGUAGUCUGACCCAUCUCCAUAUGCUGACUUGCUCAAGAAGGGAUCCAGAGAGAAAUAAGUUGACUUUGAGGAUACAGUUUCACUGUCUGGCAAAUAAACUAGAACAACAUUUGGGUUUUGUUUAGGAAUUGCCUGCAAAAAUCCAUAUAAAAAUAGUCCUUUAUUUUC